rnacentral:rRNA from 1 species
UACGGAGGGUGCAAGCGUUGCUCGGAAUUAUUGGGCGUAAAGGGUGCGUAGGCGGUUCCGCAAGUCCUGUGUGAAAUCUUCGGGCUCAACUCGAAGUCUGCACGGGAAACUGCGGGGCUUGAGUGUGGGAGAGGUGAGUGGAAUUCCCGGUGUAGCGGUGAAAUGCGUAGAUAUCUGGAAGAACACCAAAGGCGAAGGCAGUGUCCUGGGUGGUCGCUGACGCUGAGAGGCGAAAGCCAGGGGAGCGAACGGG